rnacentral:rRNA from 1 species
AUGAGGCGAACCGGGGGAACUGAAACAUCUAAGUACCCCGAGGAAAAGAAAUCAACCGAGAUUCCCCCAGUAGCGGCGAGCGAACGGGGAGGAGCCCAGAGCCUGAAUCAGUGUGUGUGUUAGUGGAAGCGUCUGGAAAGGCGCGCGAUACAGGGUGACAGCCCCGUACACAAAAAUGCACAUAUUGUGAGCUCGAUGAGUAGGGCGGGACACGUGGUAUCCUGUCUGAAUAUGGGGGGACCAUCCUCCAAGGCUAAAUACUCCUGACUGACCGAUAGUGAACCAGUACCGUGAGGGAAAGGCGAAAAGAACCCCGGCGAGGGGAGUGAAAAAGAACCUGAAACCGUGUACGUACAAGCAGUGGGAGCCUCUUAAUGGGGUGACUGCGUACCUUUUGUAUAAUGGGUCAGCGACUUAUAUUCUGUAGCAAGGUUAACCGAAUAGGGGAGCCGAAGGGAAACCGAGUCUUAACUGGGCGUUAAGUUGCAGGGUAUAGACCCGAAACCCGGUGAUCUAGCCAUGGGCAGGUUGAAGGUUGGGUAACACUAACUGGAGGACCGAACCGACUAAUGUUGAAAAAUUAGCGGAUGACUUGUGGCUGGGGGUGAAAGGCCAAUCAAACCGGGAGAUAGCUGGUUCUCCCCGAAAGCUAUUUAGGUAGCGCCUCGUGAAUUCAUCUCCGGGGGUAGAGCACUGUUUCGGCAAGGGGGUCAUCCCGACUUACCAACCCGAUGCAAACUGCGAAUACCGGAGAAUGUUAUCACGGGAGACACACGGCGGGUGCUAACGUCCGUCGUGAAGAGGGAAACAACCCAGACCGCCAGCUAAGGUCCCAAAGUCAUGGUUAAGUGGGAAACGAUGUGGGAAGGCCCAGACAGCCAGGAUGUUGGCUUAGAAGCAGCCAUCAUUUAAAGAAAGCGUAAUAGCUCACUGGUCGAGUCGGCCUGCGCGGAAGAUGUAACGGGGCUAAACCAUGCACCGAAGCUGCGGCAGCGACACUAUGUGUUGUUGGGUAGGGGAGCGUUCUGUAAGCCUGUGAAGGUGUACUGUGAGGUAUGCUGGAGGUAUCAGAAGUGCGAAUGCUGACAUAAGUAACGAUAAAGCGGGUGAAAAGCCCGCUCGCCGGAAGACCAAGGGUUCCUGUCCAACGUUAAUCGGGGCAGGGUGAGUCGACCCCUAAGGCGAGGCCGAAAGGCGUAGUCGAUGGGAAACAGGUUAAUAUUCCUGUACUUGGUGUUACUGCGAAGGGGGGACGGAGAAGGCUAUGUUGGCCGGGCGACGGUUGUCCCGGUUUAAGCGUGUAGGCUGGUUUUCCAGGCAAAUCCGGAAAAUCAAGGCUGAGGCGUGAUGACGAGGCACUACGGUGCUGAAGCGACAAAUGCCCUGCUUCCAGGAAAAGCCUCUAAGCAUCAGGUAACAUCAAAUCGUACCCCAAACCGACACAGGUGGUCAGGUAGAGAAUACCAAGGCGCUUGAGAGAACUCGGGUGAAGGAACUAGGCAAAAUGGUGCCGUAACUUCGGGAGAAGGCACGCUGAUAUGUAGGUGAAGCGACUUGCUCGUGGAGCUGAAAUCAGUCGAAGAUACCAGCUGGCUGCAACUGUUUAUUAAAAACACAGCACUGUGCAAACACGAAAGUGGACGUAUACGGUGUGACGCCUGCCCGGUGCCGGAAGGUUAAUUGAUGGGGUUAGCGGUAACGCGAAGCUCUUGAUCGAAGCCCCGGUAAACGGCGGCCGUAACUAUAACGGUCCUAAGGUAGCGAAAUUCCUUGUCGGGUAAGUUCCGACCUGCACGAAUGGCGUAAUGAUGGCCAGGCUGUCUCCACCCGAGACUCAGUGAAAUUGAACUCGCUGUGAAGAUGCAGUGUACCCGCGGCAAGACGGAAAGACCCCGUGAACCUUUACUAUAGCUUGACACUGAACAUUGAGCCUUGAUGUGUAGGAUAGGUGGGAGGCUUUGAAGUGUGGACGCCAGUCUGCAUGGAGCCGACCUUGAAAUACCACCCUUUAAUGUUUGAUGUUCUAACGUGGGCCCCUUACCGGGGUUGCGGACAGUGUCUGGUGGGUAGUUUGACUGGGGCGGUCUCCUCCUAAAGAGUAACGGAGGAGCACGAAGGUUGGCUAAUCCUGGUCGGACAUCAGGAGGUUAGUGCAAUGGCAUAAGCCAGCUUGACUGCGAGCGUGACGGCGCGAGCAGGUGCGAAAGCAGGUCAUAGUGAUCCGGUGGUUCUGAAUGGAAGGGCCAUCGCUCAACGGAUAAAAGGUACUCCGGGGAUAACAGGCUGAUACCGCCCAAGAGUUCAUAUCGACGGCGGUGUUUGGCACCUCGAUGUCGGCUCAUCACAUCCUGGGGCUGAAGUAGGUCCCAAGGGUAUGGCUGUUCGCCAUUUAAAGUGGUACGCGAGCUGGGUUUAGAACGUCGUGAGACAGUUCGGUCCCUAUCUGCCGUGGGCGCUGGAGAACUGAGGGGGGCUGCUCCUAGUACGAGAGGACCGGAGUGGACGCAUCACUGGUGUUCGGGUUGUCAUGCCAAUGGCACUGCCCGGUAGCUAAAUGCGGAAGAGAUAAGUGCUGAAAGCAUCUAAGCACGAAACUUGCCCCGAGAUGAGUUCUCCCUGACUCCUUGAGAGUCCUGAAGGAACGUUGAAGACGACGACGUUGAUAGGCCGGGUGUGUAAGCGCAGCGAUGCGUUGAGCUAACCGGUACUAAUGAACCGUGAGGCUUAACCUU